GACGGAGGAUGCAAGCGUUAUCCGGAAUUAUUGGGCGUAAAGCGUCCGUAGGUGGCCUAUCAAGUCUGCUGUUAAAUCCCAGGGCUCAACUCUGGAUCAGCAGUGGAAACUGAUAAGCUAGAGUGCGGUAGGGGCAGAGGGAAUUCCCGGUGUGGCGGUGAAAUGCGUAGAUAACGGGAAGAACACCCGUGGCGAAGGCGCUCUGCUGGGCCGUAACUGACACUCAUGGACGAAAGCUAGGGGAGCGAAAGGG
rnacentral:rRNA from 1 species